UGCUCUAGAGAACGGAAGAGAAAGUUCUAUUCCCAUCUCUUUAUAUUUGGUGACAGCCUCCUUAAUCAGAAGGUUCUUUAUGCCCACUUAAUCACCGCAGUCAAACCUGGUGGUGAAUAGUAGGGGCAGCUUUUACCGGGUAUUACCAAGGUGGGUCCCUUAGAGGCCGCAUCUCUGAAGAGACACUCCAAGGGUCCUCGUCCCUACACCAAGAGAACUAUUAGGAAAUGUUCUCCUUAAUCGGCAAACCGCAGCACCUACAGAUGAUGGAACUGUUCAGCGGGUUCUGGAUCAGCUACUUGCAAAAAGAAGUUAUGUAACUUUUCUGGGCCUUAGUUUCUCCCACUGGAAAAUGGAGACAUCAGUCAGCUCCUACGACUGCUUAACUGAAAACACGCCCUGGUCCCUGCGAUGAGACAGCGGCUGCCUGGGCAACGUCAUGGUGAUGAUGGUGCAAGGGCGUGAGACCUGGAGAACCAGGCCGAGACAGGAAAAAGAGAACAAAAGAGCAUGAAUGUUGAAGAGAGAGAAGAGUUAGAAGAAGAAGGAAAGCCAUUUUCUACCUGGAGGGGGCUGGCUGGUGACCUCCGAAAAGGUAUGUCCAAGUCCUAAUCCCUGGAACCUGGAAACGGGACCUUAUUUGGAAAUAGGGUCUUUGCAGAUAUAAUUAAGUUAAGGAUCUGGAGAUGAGGUCAUCCUAGAUUAUCUGGGUGGGCCCUAAAUCCAAUGGCAAGCGUCCCGAUGAGAGGAAGACAGAGGGAAAGUCGAGACAGACAGAGGUGAAGGCCAUGUGCAUUUGGAGGCAGAGGUUGGUGAGAUGUAGCCACGAACCGAGGAGCAUCAGGAGCCCCAGAAGCUGGAAGAGGCAAGGAAGAGUUCUCCCUAGAGCCUCUGGAGGGAGUGGCCCUGCUGACACCUUGAUUUUGAACUUCUGGCCUCCUGAACUGUGAGAGAAUAAAUUUCUGGUGUUUUGGAUUUUGGUUUUUAAGUCUGUUUAUUUUUAUUUAUAUAUAUAUAUUUUUUUAGGAAUCUCUAUACCCAACGUGGGGUGCAAACUCAAGACCCUGAAAUCAAGAGUUGCACGCUCUUCCAGCUGAGCCAGCCAGGUGCCCCAAAUCUCUGUUUUUUUAAACCACAGGGUUUGUGGUGCUUUGUUAUAGCAUGUAUGGAACCAGUAAACGUGGCCUCGUGGAAAGCAUCCGGGCUACACAGCGAAUGAAAAAAAGUAGAACUAUAGUGAGCUGUCAGCGCGGGCUGUUUUCAUGCAUUACCCUGUUUCAUCCCCCUUGGAACCCUGUGUGGUGCAUACUGUUCUUAUCCCCAUCUUACAAACAAAGAGAUUAAGGCAAUGCUGCAGGUAACUCGCCGAGGUCACCCAGAUGGCAGGUGGGAGUUCAUUAGGGGGCAGCCUUCCUAGAACUCUGAAGUCAGGUGACAGGAAGGGUGUGGGGUCUAUUGGACCAGCGAUCGCAGGAAGCUGGACGGUGAACCAAAAAUGGGAAGAAGAAAAUGUGUCACCUUAACACUGUGGAGGGUCUGCCUUCUCCCCUUGGCCAGAACUGCCCGGAGGAAAGCAUGGUACAUUCACUUAAUGGAACAGUGUGCAGCCAUUGAAAGUGGCCAUCCUGGGGCGCCUGGGGAUUGAUUAAGUGUCCGACUCAGUCGGUUAAGUGUCCGACUCUUGGUUUCGGUUCAUGUCAUGAUCUCAUGGGUGGUGUGAUUGAGCCCCACGGCGGGCUCCGUGCUCAGCGGGGAGUCUGCUUGAAGAUUCUUUCCCUCUGCCCCUCCCCUGAUUCAUGCGUGUGCUCUUGCUCUCAGAUAAAUAAAUAAAUUUAGAAAAGCAAAGAAAAGUGGCAAUCCUGGAGACCCGUAGCAUCAUGGGAAAUGGUGACAUCAUCAAGGGGAUCAAGUUCAACGCUGAACUGCCUCUGUGCAGGAUCGCCACCGUGUAAGCGUGACGUAUGCACACAUAUGUAGUGGGAGGUGACUGAACUGUGAAAGCCUCGGAGGAGGAGCAUUACAGAUGUUUUCCCUGCCAUUUUUCCUUUCUGUUCACAUUAUGCCAAAUGUGUAAUAAAACUGCAAAAACGUGAACUUUAUCUCCUUUCCCCAAGUCAGAGCUAACAAUCCCUCUUACUGCUGUUCACACCAGAACGACGGAUGAGCCGCUGCUCCAUUCUGCCUGGGCUCCAGUCAAACUGGGGUAAUGACCCCAUGGCCUCAGCUCUCAGCAGGAGGGAUGAGAAGCCCCUGGAGAAGGACUCCUUUGGGAAUACAGGUGGCAUCAGGGAAGUCCAUCAGUGGAUAGUAGGGCCUCAGCCAAUGGGAACUACAAUGUGGGGAGGUGCUAGAUGCCAAGAGCCCGGUGCUCCUGGGGUGUAUACCCAGCUCCUUUCUCCAGGAACACUUCUCUGUGCAUCUGCGUGGGGAUACCUGCAGUCUCCGGUCAGGUAUGCCGGCCUUGAAGCAUGCCCAAGGUGAUGGCCUCAGUGGUGGCCACUUGGCCCCAGGUUGGCCAACCAGUGGCUUCCUCAGGAAUGCGGAAUUAGAACCAAGAGCGUAGUGAUUCUUCAGGUACCCAGGACCCUUGGGUGCUGGGAGCCACUUACGCCUCUCGACAGGACUGAGGAAAUCAGAGAAGCUGCCGUGCAGAGACUGAGAUUGAAAGAAAACCAGCAAGCAGAUGCACAGAGAGGAAGAGAGGAUCGCAGGUGAGAGAGACAAUUUCGGGCAACUUUUCGGUUCCUUGUCUUGCAUCAAGAAUGUCCUUGCAUUCUUCCCCUUGGGUUCCUCUGAAAGUCCCCUACGCCCUUCUGCCUUACUCCUGUAUUCUGCUUAAAAUCUGUAUCAGUUUCCUAGGACUGCUGUAACAAAUUAGCACAAUCCAGAUGGCUUAAAACAAUGGAAAUUUAUUCCCUUGCAGUUCUAGAGGCCAGAAGUCUGAAAUCAAGGUGUUGGCCAGGUUGGUUCCUUCCAGAGGCUCUAGGGAGAAUCUGUUCCAGGCCUCUCUCUUAUCUUCCAGCACUGCCUGCAAUUCUUGGCGUUCAAUGGCUCGUAGAAGCAUUCUUCUGAUCUCUGCCUCCAUCUUCACUGGCAUUCUCCCUGUGUGUCUGUGUCUUUGUCCAAAUUUCCCACUUCUUAUAAAGAUAUCCUAAUCCAGGAUGACCUCAUCUUAACUAAUUAGAUUUGCAAAGACCCUCUUUCCAGUGAAGGUCCCAUUUUGAGGUUCCAUGUGAGCAUGAAUUUUGGAGGGAUAAUAUUCAACCCAGUACAAACUCUCUUGAGUUGGUUUUUGUUUUU